rnacentral:rRNA from 1 species
GCUAGCAGCCAUAUCACCCUGUAAAUCACAACUGAUAACCCACUAAAGCUAAGCAGGUGUGCGCCUUGUCAGUACCUAGAUGGGAGACCCCUGGGAAAAACUAAGUUUGCUGCUGGAA